ACUAUCUUGAUUCCUGCUUCAUCCUCUUUCCAUUUUGUUGGGCAAACUGCGGCUCAGAAAGAUAAAGGCCUUCCCCGCACCGGAAAAACUCCUAGGCCGUGCCCAAAGCUCCGCACGGUCGGGAAAACUGGGAACUGAGGGAGCCAAGAGACCAGAACGGGUUAAGAUCAUGAAGCUGCGGAGCACCGCCAAGGCCUAGAGAGACCGGGCGCCUCGAACCCGGUUCCCCCUUGCUCCCAGCUUCCGGGCGGGGCGCGACUUCCGGUUCCGGCGGCGGGCUACAAAGCUUGGCGCCGGGAAGCUGGUUUCCCGUUCCUGCAGCCGGCGGCGGUGUUUCGCGUGUCAUUGCCAGCCGCCCCCAUCCCCCCGCCCUCGGAGGGGCACCUGCGCAGGAGUCUGAGAAAUCCUUUUCCAGAGUUCUAGAAUGGAGACUGAAGGGUACCCAGAGAUACAAAGAAAUAGAGAAAUCCAGAAUGAUGAAAUAAGGUCAUCACCAAAUGAGAGGAUGGCUGGGGAGCCAGAAGUUGUCCUGAUAGCACUUCCCCAGGUCCAGGUUCCACCAGAGAGCCUCGAUGAAAACUCUGCAGAAGACCUUGAGACUGUGCCACGAGGGAGUCCUCUCAACCCUGCGGCCUCCAGGCAGAGGUUCCGGCAGUUCCGCUAUGAGGAUGCAGCUGGCCCCAGGGAUGUCCUCAGACAUCUCCAGGAGCUUGCUGGACAGUGGCUGAGACCUGAUAUUCACACAAAGGAGCAGAUUGUGGAAAUACUGGUGCAGGAGCAAUUCCAGGCCUUCCUCCCUGAGGAGCUCAGAGCUCCGGCACAGAGAUGUCAGCCUGGGGUCAGAAUCACUGGCUAAAUCCUACUGCUUGCUUCUUGCUCAGCCUACAUGUGAGAAGUAACCAACGGCUCUCUUUGUUAUAAGAUCCAACUGCAGUCAUGGGAAAUCUGAACCUCGGUUUUCUUUGAGCUUGCCUUUGACUAGCUGUAAUAAGAAUUAACCAAAACCUUGUUUUGGCUGAAGCAGCUCUAUUUCCUGGGACUGUGAACUCCAGAAUGAGUUUCCCUGCCCUCUUGUAAGGACAGUCAGCCUGCUGCUUGUUUUUGCUCUGCUGAAUGCCUCCUUUUUUGCACUCUGUGACAUGCUUUAAUAUAUUGUUUUUAUGUAUCCAAAGGGGUGAUUGCUUCAACUUUAAUAUUCUUGAUUCUUGUUGUGGUGGCAUGAAUGGAAGCUUCUGUAACCCCACUAGUAACUCAUUUGGGAUGUCCUUGAAAUAUUAAAGUUCUGUUUUU